UCUCUCUCUCUCUCUCUUUCUUUGUCCACAGGGCAGUCUCUUAGCAACAAAGUCCAUCAGACUCCUACUGCAAUACUUAAAGGAUCUAAAGAUAAUGUACAACUCACCUGCAACCAUACUAUUCAAAACUACGAUACAAUACUCUGGUACCAACAGUCAACAGGAGACACUGCUAUGAAACUCAUUGGUUAUGCACAAUACAAGUCAAUAACCAUGGAGAAAUCAUUUGAAAAGCACUUCAAUGUGAGUGGAGAUGGUUCGAAAGAGGCGUAUCUUCAUCUACUGAGUCUGAGAGCACCUGAAGACAGUGCAGUGUAUUACUGUGGCUGUCACAACCAGACAACGUCCAGCAGACUCCUACUGCAAUACUAA